rnacentral:misc_RNA from 1 species
AACUUUUAGCAACGGAUCACUUGGCUCUCGCAUCGAUGAAGAACGCAUCGAAAUGCGAUAAGUAAUGUGAAUUGCAGAAUUCAGUGAAUCAUCGAAUCUUUGAACGCACCUUGCGCCCUUUGGUUAUUCCGAAGGGCAUGCCUGUUUGAGUAUCGUGAACACCUCAACUCUCACGGUUUGCCGUGAUGAGCUUGGAUUUUGGGGGUCUUGCUGGCCUAUGGUCGGCUCCUCUCAAAUGAAUCAGCUUGCCAGUGUUUGGUGGCAUCACAGGUGUGAUAACUAUCUAUGCUUGUGGUUUUCCACCAGGUAACCUCCAGCAAUGGAGGUUCGCUGGAGCUCAUAAAUGUCCCUCCUCAGCGAGGACAGCUUUUGAACGUUUGAUCUCAAAUCAGGUAGGACUACCCGCUGAACUUAAGCAUAUCAAUAAGCGGAGGCU